UACGUAGGGUGCAAGCGUUUGUCCGGAAUUAUUGGGGCGUAAAGAGCUCGUAGGCGGCUUGUCACGUCGGAUGUGAAAGCCCGGGGCUUAACCCCGGGUCUGCAUUCGAUACGGGGCAGGCUAGAGUUCGGUAGGGGAGAUCGGAAUUCCUGGUGUAGCGGUGAAAUGCGCAGAUAUCAGGAGGAACACCGGUGGCGAAGGCGGAUCUCUGGGGCCGAUACUGACGCUGAGGAGCGAAAAGCGUGGGGGAGCGAACAGG
rnacentral:rRNA from 1 species